AAUAGAUACCCAGGUAGUCCACGCCGUAAACGAUGGAUGCUAGCUGUUAUGAGUAUCGACCCUUGUAGUAGCGAAGCUAACGCGUUAAGCAUCCCGCCUGUGGAGUACGAGCGCAAGCUUAAAACAUAAAGGAAUUGACGGGGACCCGCACAAGCGGUGGAGCGUGUUGUUUAAUUCGAUGAUAAGCGAAGAACCUUACCAAGGCUUGACAUCCCUGGAAGGUCUCCGAAAGGAGACUGUGCCUUCGGGAAUCAGGUGACAGGUGAUGCAUGGCCGUCGUCAGCUCGUGUCGUGAGAUGUUUGGUUAAGUCCAUCAACGAGCGCAACCCUUGUAAAUAGUUGAAUUUUUCUAUUUAGACUGCCUCGGUAACGGGGAGGAAGGAGGGGAUGAUGUCAGGUCAGUAUUUCCCUUAUGCCUUGGGCUACAAACACGCUACAAUGGCCGGUACAAAGGGCAGCCAGCCCGCGAGGGGGAGCAAAUCCCAUCAAAACCGGCCCCAGUUCGGAUAGCAGGCUGAAACUCGCCUGCUUGAAGUCGG
rnacentral:rRNA from 1 species